rnacentral:lncRNA from 1 species
UCAGGACACAGCCCAGCCGGCAGCUGCCAGAGUCACUGCCUAAAGGAGGUUUUGACCGAGGAGCAGCAGAGCCCUCUGAGGGCCCCUGUGCUUCUAAAAUGAACUUGAGUUACCUGGAAAUAAGAAGCUCAACAAUUGUAACAUUCUCGGGCUGCCAGCAACUCCAUGUCUGAAGCCCAGCCUGGAUCGAGCCCUGGAGAAGCCUCGAGGGUGGGCCGAGGUGGUGGCCCGUCCAGCCCUCCUGGACAGGCCCAGUGGCUGGGACAGAGGCCUCCGAGGUGCCGGGUGUGCCGGCCCCACGAUGGUGCACCUGCCGCCACCCCGGUGAGAUGGGCAUCACCCAGGGAGGCGCAGAGAAGCCGGCAGCGCAGCCAGGACUGACACGUAAUCCCGACACCUGGGCCAUCGGCAAGAACUGUCAGCCUACUUGACCUCUUUUUGUGACAAAUCAGAUCCUCCCCCAAGAACAGACCAGUGUCUGUCAGCAUCAACCCCCACAGACACCUCUGCUGGUGUGGCAGGUGACAUUGCCACAGUGGGGCCCUGAGUCAGGCGGCAAGUCUCUGUAACAAACAGCUCCAGGAGCAGUCAUGCUAGUGGGGGGCUCAGCCUGUGCAGGCCCUGGGACCUGGGUAAAGUCGAGGUGCAGCAUCAGAGUCCGGGGCCCCUGCACCCCAGGCCAAAGGUUGCCCUCAUCCCACAGAGCCUUCCGUUGCAGCUGGUUCAGGCCCCGGGGCCAGCCGGGCAUCUCGCCCUGAAAACCACAGGCUCCGUGCAGAGGGGAACCCGAGAGAGGCCUGCAGAUGCCACACAUGAUGCUGGUGUCACAUUGAAAUAGUUUCGGCAGGGGGCGGUGGCGCACGCCUGGAAUCCCAGCACUUAUGGAGGCCAAGGCAGGCGGAUCACCUGAGGCCAGGAGUUCAAGACCAGCCUGGCCAACAUGGUGAAACCCCAUCUCUACUAAAAAUAUAAAAAUCAGCUGGGCGUGGUGGUGCACGCCUGUAAUCCCAGCUACUCUGGAGGCUGAGGCAGGAAAAUAGCUUGAGCAUGGGAGGCAGAGGUUGCAGUGAGCUGAGAUCACACCACUGCACUCCAGCCUGGGUGAAGAGUGAGACUCUGUCUCAAAAAAAAUAAAAAGAAAAAAAAGAAAUAGUUUGACCCCAGAGUCAUUCUGGCACAACCUAAAAAGCCGACUCUUUAACAUUUGAGCUUUUAAAAAUACCAAAUAACCUGGGAAAGUGACACGCUGUCCCUGUGGCCAUGGGGCCAUGUGAAGGGUGACGUGUCUUGCGCAGAUGCCCUGUGUGCGGCCCUCACUGAAGCUGCAGGGUCUGCUGCCGCUCACAGCUCUGGACUCCAGACGUCUGCCUCUCGGGACACUUGGGACUCGAUUCCACAGCUCCAGAAAACCCAGGAAACCCGAAGGCGACCUCAACACCGUUCGUUCUCUCAGUAGCAUACGUGAUAAAUGAAGUAAAAACUCCUUUAAAGCGAGGGUUUGGGGAAACAGAACUGUUGUGUCUCAGACGGCGUUAACCAAGUUGCAAUCAUUUUACAAUUGGGAAACUUUCUAAGAAAACUAUCUACACAUCUGCUUACAAAUCAAAGCCAGAGUGUUUUCUACCGUCAGGAAACUGGGAGAGGCUCAGGAAUGAGGGGGAGGCAGUCAAGAAAUCGCUAAUUAAAACCAGCGCUUUCCCACCCUUCUGGCUGGGAGGGGGCCGGGAAAGACGAGGAAGUGGAAGAGGUCAGGAGAAGGCAGUGAGUGAACAGAUUACUGUCCCAGUCUCCACCUUUGUGUUUAUGUUUGUACUUUUCCAUGAUAAAAGCUUUGUUCUGAACAUCGGCCUCCCCCGGGCUGUGCAGAGCUCCACGGCCCCGGCUACCCCAGUGGCUCCAGUGGCCGACAGGGUUGAUUCUACUCACCUGAGCAGGUGUGUCAGGCCUCUGAGCCGAAGCUCAGCCAUUGUAACCCCUGUGACCUGCACAUGUAUGUCCAGAUGGCCUGCAAGAGCCAAGAAGUCUGGGGCAACCCAAAUCUACAAAAGAAUGAAACAGCCAGCUCCUGUCUUAACUGAUUGACCAACCUUACGACAUUCCAUGAUGACCUGUUCCUGCCCUGUCCCACCUGAUCGAUCGACCUCGUGACAUUCUUCUUCCGGACAAUGAGUCUUAUGAUCUCCCCACCAUGUACCUUGUGACCCCCUCCUCUGCUGACAAUAGGUAACCACCUUUCACUGUAACUUUCCACUGUUUACCCCAGUCCUAUAAAACGGCCCCACCCCUACCUCUCUUUGCUGACUCUUUUCGGACUCAGCCCACUUGCACCCAAGUGAAUAAACAGCCUUGUUGCUCACACAAAGCCUGUUGGUGUCUCUUCACAUGGACGCACGUGACACAAAGUGCUGGGGUUACAGGCGUGAGCUGCCACGCCCGGCCCUCUUUGCUCUUUCGUACGAAUUUUAUUUUUUAUUUUUAUUUUUUUUCUUGAGACAGAGUCUUGCUCUGUCGCCCAGGCUGGAGUGCAGUGGCGCGAUCUCGGCUCACUGCAAGCUCCGCCUCCCGGGUUCACGCCAGUCUCCUGCCUCAGUUACCUGAGUAGCUGGGACUACAGGCGCCCGUCACCACACCUGGCUAAUUUUUUGUAUUUUUUUAGUGGAGACGGGGUUUCACCGUGUUAGCCAGGAUGGUCUUGAUCUCCUGACCUCGUGAUCCGCCCGCCUCGGCCUCCCACAGUGCUGGGAUUUACAGGCGGGAGCCACCACACCGGCCUUCGUAUGAAUUUUAGAACCAGUUUUUCCAAUUUCAUGAAAAAUUAUCUUAGGAAUUAUAUUAAUUUCGGGAAAACAGUUAUCUUUGGGUCCCACGUAAACACAGGGAGUGGGAAACAGUCGUGUGGCAUCUGUGGCACAGAACACAGAGACCAGGCCCCGGCGGCUCUGCCAAGCGAGGCUUCGUCCCGGAGACUCGGCGUGUGGCCUCCGGGUCACAGAAACGGCCUUCGUAGCUGUUUGAUGUCACACCAACGAGACUUCAUUCGUGUUAGCAGAACUUUGGGGACGACGUGACCCUGCGUGACAGCCGGGAACACGGGAGCCAGAUGUGGGGACAGCGGCGAGCUGGCACCCCGGAUGGAAAGCCGGACAGAAAGGCGGACAGAGCUGCAGCCACGACCAGGAGUAGCAGCAGGUCCUCGGACGAGAGGCAGCCCCCGUUCCCGGACCAAACUGAGGGUCGGGCCCCAUAACGAGACGCAGCUGAACUGGGGAGGAAGCACGUGUUUAUUUCCCCAACCGGUUACAGGGAGAAGGCCUGGACAUUAUCUCCAGACCAACUCAAAAUUACAGUCCUCCAGAGCUUAUCUACCUUCCACACGCUACGUCUACGUGUAAGUGUGCAUUCAUCUGAAGACUAAGUGACUAACUUCUAAUCUGUAACUGAGGUCUGAGUCCUGAAGACCUUCCUCUGGAGCCUCAGUAAGUUUAAUCUAGAUGGGUCCAGGUGCUGGGUCAUUACCCUUAUCCUGUCUCCUGCUAAGUCACGGAGGUUGGAGAAGUUCCUUCGGGCCCCCAAUAAGCUUGUUUGUGGAGGCCUGAGGAGUUCCUUCAGACCCGCGAUAAAAUUUGUUUUAUCCUAAAUGGGUCCUAUUAAGAAUUCCUUUGUUAUUUUUUCAUGCUUUAAGGCCCAGGAAAGGGCUAGGCAAAACUCUUGGUAUGCUUCUGUUACAUUCCAGCCUUUGUAUAAGGGCACUGGCUUUUAACUCCCUCAGUACUGAAACUGGUCAUGGAGGCCCACGUUAGUGAGACCUGGCCUACCGCACUCCCACCCAGCCCACGGGCGUGUAAAUCUGUGCAGCCAGACACACCCUCACCCUGCAACCACCCCUGCAAACCCCCCUUCCCCACUUCCCCAUUGUGAGAUGUGGCAGCCCAGGGCGGAGUGGGUAUUUGCCCUAAAGACAAACACCGCUGGAGGCACGGAGCCGACACAGGCGCCAUGAGCUGACACAGGCACGGAGCUGACACAGGCACGGUCACUUCCUUUGCACCAGCAAAGCGUUGAAGGCAGCAGGAAGAGAAGGACAGGAUUCCCGGACGAAAGCAUCUCGGCGGCCACGGGGCAGCUCCUCCCAUUCCAGCCACAGGCGCAGCAGCCAGGAGCAGCUGGAACUCACAGAGUCAAAGAAACUUGAACUGUUCACGGCCUUUAAUAAUUGAGCAAGGUACUCUCCUGUGAACAAAAUUUGGAGCAUGUUUGUUUCUCUCCCUGGUUCCUCUAGAAUUUGGAAACUAUUUGUGAGUACUCUUAUGGUGAUACAGUUGGUUGCAUCAGUGCAAUAAGAAUCCAUUUUUCUUGGCCAGGCGUGGUGGCUCAUGCCUGUAAUCCCAGCACUUUGGGAAGCCGAGGCGGGCAGAUCACAAGGUCAGGAGAUUGAGACCAUCCUGGCUAACACGGUGAAACCCCGUCUCUACUAAAAAUACAAAAAAUUAGCCGGGCGUGGUGGCGGGCGCCUGUAGUUCCAGCGACUCGGGAGGCUGAGGCAAGAGAAUGGUGUGAACCCAGGAAGUGGAGGUUGCAGUGAGCCGAGAUCACGCCACUGCACUCCAGCCUGGGUGACAGAGCCAGACUCUGUCUCAAAAAAAAAAAAAAAAAAUCUCGGAUACGCUGAACAAAGACAACUAUCAUUCCCAUGCCCUCGGAGAGGGAUUUAACCGAGACAGGAGAUGGGGAGGCAGGUGCGGGACAAUCUCAUCCUAGAAAGACCGUCAGGGGGAAGCUCUUCUGGGCAGCGGCUCCUCAGGGAAGUUCUGCUGCCGCAUUCUGAUGUUACAGAAAUGCUUCCUCGCCCUUCCUGGGAGGUGGUCUAAUGCCACCCCAAACCUCCAUCACUGACAGCCUCUCAGCAUGGGGGAACUGGGUGUGAGGAAGCUGGGGAGGGCACUGGGGGAGGGUACAGGGGAAGAGGCACAGAGGGAGGACACGGGAAGAGGGUGUGGGGGAAGGACAUGGGGGGAGGGCACAGGGGAA